UUCAUCAAGAGUGGCGGAGGGAACGGCCCGAUGAUACCACGACAACCUGCCGCAAGGCAAGGUGCCAAAUCCGACGAACGAAUCGAAAGAUGAGG
rnacentral:ncRNA from 1 species